GAUGAACGCUGGCGGCGUGCCUAAUACAUGCAAGUCGAGCGAACGGACGAGAAGCUUGCUUCUCUGAUGUUAGCGGCGGACGGGUGAGUAACACGUGGAUAACCUACCUAUAAGACUGGGAUAACUUCGGGAAACCGGAGCUAAUACCGGAUAAUAUUUUGAACCGCAUGGUUCAAAAGUGAAAGACGGUCUUGCUGUCGCUUAUAGAUGGAUCCGCGCUGCAUUAGCUAGUUGGUAAGGUAACGGCUUACCAAGGCAACGAUGCAUAGCCGACCUGAGAGGGUGAUCGGCCACCCGGGAAGUGAGACACGGUCCAGACUCCUACGGGAGGCAGCAGUAGGGAAUCUUCCGCAAUGCGCGAAAGCCUGACGGAGCAACGCCGCGUGAGUGAUGAAGGUCUUCGGAUCGUAAAACUCUGUUAUUAGGGAAGAACAUAUGUGUAAGUAACUGUGCACAUCUUGACGGUACCUAAUCAGAAAGCCACGGCUAACUACGUG
rnacentral:rRNA from 1 species